UACGGGGGGGGCAAGCGUUGUUCGGAAUUACUGGGCGUAAAGCGCGCGUAGGCGGACCUGCAAGUCGGGGGUGAAAGCCCGAGGCUCAACCUCGGAACUGCCUUCGAUACUGCGGGUCUCGAGUCCGGGAGAGGUGAGUGGAAUUCCUAGUGUAGAGGUGAAAUUCGUAGAUAUUAGGAAGAACACCAGUGGCGAAGGCGGCUCACUGGCCCGGUACUGACGCUGAGGCGCGAAAGCGUGGGGAUCAAACAGG
rnacentral:rRNA from 1 species